GAUGAACGCUGGCGGCGUGCCUAAUACAUGCAAGUCGAGCGAACGGACGAGAAGCUUGCUUUUCUGAUGUUAGCGGCGGACGGGUGAGUAACACGUGGAUAACCUACCUAUAAGACUGGGAUAACUUCGGGAAACCGGAGCUAAUACCGGAUAAUAUUUUGAACCGCAUGGUUCAAAAGUGAAAGACGGUCUUGCUGUCACUUAUAGAUGGAUCCGCGCUGCAUUAGCUAGUUGGUAAGGUAACGGCUUACCAAGGCAACGAUGCAUAGCCGACCUGAGAGGGUGAUCGCCCACACUGGAACUGAGACACGGUCCAGACUCCUACGGGAGGCAGCAGUAGGGAAUCUUCCGCAAUGGGCGAAAGCCUGACGCAGCAACGCCGCGUGAGUGAUGAAGGUCCUCGGAUCGUAAAACUCUGUUCUUAGGGAAGAACAUAUGUGUAAGUAACUGUGCACAUCUUGACGGUACCUAAUCAGAAAGCCACGGCUAACUACGUG
rnacentral:rRNA from 1 species